rnacentral:tRNA from 1 species
CGUGAUGUAGCUUACUUAAGUUACUCAUUUACACUGAGAGGAUCUCUUUACUGAGCGUUACGA